rnacentral:rRNA from 1 species
UGGGGAAUCUUGCACAAUGGACGAAAGUCUGAUGCAGCAACGCCGCGUGGGGGAUGAAGCUUUUCGGAGUGUAAACCCCUUUCGACCCGGAAGAAAGCCCGCAAGGGUUUGACGGUACGGGUAUAAGAAGCCCCGGCUAACUACGUGCCAGCAGCCGCGGUAAAACGUAGGGGGCCAGCGUUGCUCGGAAUUACUGGGCGUAAAGGGUCCGUAGGCGGUGUGGCAAGUUGGUAGUGAAAUCUCUGGGCUUAACCCAGAGGCUGCUGCCAAAACUGCCGUGCUAGAGUGUGAGAGAGGCGAGUGGAAUUACGGGUGUAGCGGUGAAAUGCGUAGAUAUCUGCAGGAACACCCGUGGCGAAAGCGGCGCACUGGACCACAACUGACGCUGAGGAACGAAAGCUAGGGGAGCAAACAGGAUUAGAUACCCUGGUAGUCCUAGCCCUAAACGAUCAGGACUUGGGGUGGCUCACGUUCGUGAGUCGUCCCGGAGCUAACGCGUUAAGUCCUGCACCUGGGGAGUACGGUCGCAAGACUG